rnacentral:rRNA from 1 species
AUUGAACGCUGGCGGCAUGCCUUACACAUGCAAGUCGAACGGUAACAGGUUAAGCUGACGAGUGGCGAACGGGUGAGUAAUGUAUCGGAACGUGCCCAGUCGUGGGGUAUAACUGCUCGAAAGAGCAGCUAAUACCGCAUACGACCUGAGGGUGAAAGCGGGGGGUCGCAAGACCUCGCGCGAUUGGAGCGGCCGAUAUCAGAUUAGGUAGUUGGUGAGGUAAAGGCUCACCAAGCCGACGAGCUGUAGCUGGUCUGAGAGGACGACCAGCCACACUGGGACUGAGACACGGCCCAGACUCCUACGGGAGGCAGCAGUGGGGAAUUUUGGACAAUGGGCGCAAGCCUGAUCCAGCCAUGCCGCGUGCGGGAAGAAGGCCUUCGGGUUGUAAACCGCUUUUGUCAGGGAAGAAAAGGUUCUGGCUAAUACCUGGGACUCAUGACGGUACCUGAAGAAUAAGCACCGGCUAACUACGUG